rnacentral:rRNA from 1 species
CUGGCGGCGUGGUUAAGACAUGCAAGUCGAACGGUAUUUUUAUGCGUAGCAAUACAUAUGAAAGUCUAGUGGCAGACGGUGCGUAACACGUGAACAAUCUACCUCUUAGUGGGGAAUAAUUUACCGAAAGGUGGACUAAUACCGCAUGUGGUGGCUUUUCGCAUGAAAAGCUUACCAAAGCUGGGGAUCUUCGGACCUAGCGCUAGGAGAGGAGUUCGCGGCCUAUCAGCUUGUUGGUGAGGUAACGGCUCACCAAGGCUAAGACGGGUAGCUGGUCUGAGAGGAUGAUCAGCCACACUGGAACUGAGACACGGUCCAGACGCCUACGGGUGGCAGCAGUUUCGAAUCAUUCACAAUGGGCGAAAGCCUGAUGGUGCAACGCCGCGUGGGGACGAAGGUCUUAGGAUUGCAAACCCCUGUCACCAGGGAAGAACCGUUGCUAGUUAAUAGCUGGUAACCUGACUUAACCUGGAGAGGAAGCAGUGGCUAACUCCGUG